AAAGAAAUAUGCUUGUUUGGGCAAUAUCGAUCAGAAAAAGAACAAAGAAGAGCACAAUAUCGCCAAUGGCUUUGAAUCCGACAACAUGGGUUAGUAAUAUACCUUCCAUCGGCAUGGCCAAAAGAGACAAAGUAUAUGGGCUCCAAGUUCCACCUUACCUAAAAUAUAUAGAUGAGACAACAAAUCCCAAUAGUUACAAAACUAGCUAGCUAGCAAGGCGAGAUAGAGAUAUGGUGAAGGGAAUUUUAGUGGUAAUGUUGUUGAUUCUUGGGUGCAAGGUUACUUUCUCAGUAGCCGAAGACGAAGAAGAGCUCAGCGUUUGGUACUGCAACAGAAAUAGGUACACCAGGUUCUACCAUCCAGAACUCAAGCUUUACAAAAAAGAGUCACUUCAGCAAUUAUGCCUUAAUAUACCCGAUCCCACCAACUCCAAUGCCAAGUAUACACUCCCAUAUCCACCUACGAAUCCUCUGCUUUACUCCUCUUUCUGCUAGAAUUCUUCAGUCUCGGCGUGCCAGCAUUGUCUACAGCUAGCUAGAAAAACGUUGCUUCAUAAGUGUCAUAAGCACGUUAUUGGGGGUGAAUUGUAUUCUGAGACUUGUGCCAUGAGGUUCGAAUUAUAUAACUUCUUGACUUAGAUUAAUUAGUUUUGCUCAUCUUUUUGUUUGUCAUUUUAUGAAAGGUUCAAUACUUUUGCAUCUCUGUAAGAGGUGUAAUACGUACUCUUCCUCAUUUUUCUUUUCCAAUACGAUCCAUGGAUUGCUAUUCAUUUUUAUUGCUGGCUCAUCACGUUUUAAUAAAUUCUAUUAUCAGUCUAUUUAUACACUUCAAAUACAAUGAAAUAAUAAUGAUGGUUGAGAUAGGUUUCGAUGAUCUAUGAAAAUAAUAACUCAAAUGGAUGAAAUUAGUUACAUUCAGAAGUUUAAAAUAGGAGCGCCGGAAUUUCGACCGACUCCAACCCUAUAAGUUUUGGAUAGAAAACCUAUCUCAAUCAUUAUUACUCAACAUAUUAUAUGUUAUAUUCAAAAAUUGAAAGAUUUGAAAUGUUCAAAUUCCUCUUCAGAACCAAUAUUAAUGGGAAGGCAUAAAAUUCUCAAGGGCCUCAACUAACAAAAUAGGGUCCUAUCAUGCAUUUUCUAUCGAACAACAGCAUUUGCAGGCUACUUAAAAACUAAAAAUAAACCCCCUCACCUUUUCUGAAUAUAUCCAUGAAUCCUGCUUGACUUGGUGACCAGUUAUGAAAUGAUAGCUUGCUUUCCCAUAAAAAACCAUCGUUGAUCAUCUCUGGAGAUCCUCCGUCGAAAACAAAGAGUUCCAUAACAUCAGAAACUUGCAAUCAAACCUCUAACUUCUAAAAAUAUGGUAACAAUGGACUUUUCUUUGAUAUGGUUAUUUCUAUAAACUUUUCAAUAAUCAAAUACCAUUAAUUGGUAAUAUUUGAGGUUCCAAAACUUUGAGACCUUGUGUGGUAAAGCA
rnacentral:lncRNA from 1 species